CGGGGUGUAGCGCAGUCUGGCUAGCGCGCAUGGUUUGGGACCAUGAGGCCGUGGGUUCGAAUCCCACCACCCCGACCA
rnacentral:tRNA from 1 species